rnacentral:rRNA from 1 species
AUUAUGGAGAGUUUGAUCCUGGCUCAGGACGAACGCUGGCGGCGUGCCUAAUACAUGCAAGUCGAGCGAAUGA